rnacentral:rRNA from 1 species
UGAGGAAUAUUGGGCAAUGCCCGCAAGGGUGACCCAGCAACGCCGCGUGGAGGAUGAAUGUCGUAAGAUUGUAAACUCCUGUUAGAGGGGAAGAAUAGUACCGGUUGGACCGGUAUAUGACUGUACCCUCAGAGAAAGCCCCGGCUAACUACGUGCCAGCAGCCGCGGUAAUACGUAGGGGGCAAGCGUUGUCCGGAUUUACUGGGCGUAAAGAGCUCGUAGGCGGUUUGUCGCGUCUGCUGUGAAAACCCGAGGCUCAACCUCGGGCCUGCAGUGGGUACGGGCAAACUAGAGUGCGGUAGGGGAGAUUGGAAUUCCUGGUGUAGCGGUGGAAUGCGCAGAUAUCAGGAGGAACACCGAUGGCGAAGGCAGAUCUCUGGGCCGUAACUGACGCUGAGGAGCGAAAGCAUGGGGAGCGAACA